GACAAACGCUGGCGGCGUGCGUAAAACAUGCAAGUCGAACGCUCGGACUUCGGUUCGGGAGUGGCAGACGGCUGAGGAACGCGUAGGAACCUGCCCUGGAGUGGGGGAUAGCUUGCCGAAAGGUGAGGUAAUACCGCAUACGUUCGGGCUUCGGCUCGAGGAAAGCCUUCGGGUGCUCCGGGAGGGGCCGUGCGUCCGAUUAGCUGGUUGGUGGGGUAAGUGGCCUACCAAGGCGACGAUCGGUAGCUGGCUGAGAGGAUGACCAGCCAGACUGGGACUGGGACACGGCCCAGACUCCUACGGGAGGCAGCAGUUAGGAAUUUUGGGCAAUGGCCGCAAGACUGACCCAGCAACGCCGCGUGGGGGACGAAGGCCUUCGGUUG
rnacentral:rRNA from 1 species